GACAGAUGCCGACGAUUUGCACGAAGCUGGCAUAUGGCGGCGGGUCGAGUGACGCGGGACCUUUCUCAGUGAUGGACGAUAAACAAGCCAAGAAAACAAGGCAAAAUCGCAACGGCCUACGUUAACCCAAGCGAGUUUAAUCAUUCCGGACGAGCGGGAUCUAUCCGCGAGCCGCACUAAAACGAUAAUCGAUUAAGCAGAGGUCGAGGGAAAUUGGCACGAGAGACUGACUGGCAGGACGAAGGUAACGAAUGACGAAAUCAAGGACAUCAGCCCUGCUAUUACGUCAAAACUAUCGUUAUAGGGCAGUGCUUUGAAUUAUGCGAAAGAAGAUUUAUACCCGACGAAAUUGAAUCUCAUCGGAUAA